rnacentral:rRNA from 1 species
AGAGUUUGAUCCUGGCUCAGAUUGAACGCUGGCGGCAGGCCUAACACAUGCAAGUCGAGCGGCAGCACGGGUACUUGUACCUGGUGGCGAGCGGCGGACGGGUGAGUAAUACCUAGGAAUCUGCCUGGUAGUGGGGGAUAACGUCCGGAAACGGACGCUAAUACCGCAUACGUCCUACGGGAGAAAGCAGGGGACCUUCGGGCCUUGCGCUAUCAGAUGAGCCUAGGUCGGAUUAGCUAGUUGGUGAGGUAAUGGCUCACCAAGGCUACGAUCCGUAACUGGUCUGAGAGGAUGAUCAGUCACACUGGAACUGAGACACGGUCCAGACUCCUACGGGAGGCAGCAGUGGGGAAUAUUGGACAAUGGGCGAAAGCCUGAUCCAGCCAUGCCGCGUGUGUGAAGAAGGUCUUCGGAUUGUAAAGCACUUUAAGUUGGGAGGAAGGGCCGUUACCUAAUACGUGAUUGUUUUGACGUUACCGACAGAAUAAGCACCGGCUAACUCUGUGCCAGCAGCCGCGGUAAUACAGAGGGUGCAAGCGUUAAUCGGAAUUACUGGGCGUAAAGCGCGCGUAGGUGGUUCGUUAAGUUGGAUGUGAAAUCCCCGGGCUCAACCUGGGAACUGCAUUCAAAACUGUCGAGCUAGAGUAUGGUAGAGGGUGGUGGAAUUUCCUGUGUAGCGGUGAAAUGCGUAGAUAUAGGAAGGAACACCAGUGGCGAAGGCGACCACCUGGACUGAUACUGACACUGAGGUGCGAAAGCGUGGGGAGCAAACAGGAUUAGAUACCCUGGUAGUCCACGCCGUAAACGAUGUCAACUAGCCGUUGGGAGCCUUGAGCUCUUAGUGGCGCAGCUAACGCAUUAAGUGACCGCCUGGGGAGUACGGUCGCAAGAUUAAACUCAAAGGAAUUGACGG